AGAGUUUGAUUCUGGCUCAGAGUGAACGCUGGCGGCGUGCUUAACACAUGCAAGUCGAACGGAUGAAAUAAGCUUGCUUAUUUCGUUAGUGGCGCACGGGUGAGUAAUGUAUAGCUAACCUGCCCUUUAGUGGGGGACAACAGUUGGAAACGACUGCUAAUACCCAUACUCCAGCCUAUCAAAAGGUAGGUUGGGAAAGAUUUAUUGCUAAAGGAUGGGGCUUUAUGGUAUCAGCUAGUUGGUGGGGUAACGGCCUACCAAGGCAAUGACGCCUACCUGGUCUGAGAGGAUGAUCAGGCACACUGGAACUGAGACACGGUCCAGACUCCUACGGGAGGCAGCAGUGGGGAAUAUUGCACAAUGGGGGAAACCCUGAUGCAGCAACGCCGCGUGGAGGAUGACGCAUUUCGGUGUGUAAACUCCUUUUAUAAGGGAAGAUAAUGACGGUACCUUAUGAAUAAGCACCGGCUAACUCCGUGCCAGCCGCCGC
rnacentral:rRNA from 1 species